ACUAAAGUACCCGUCUGAAUUGCAACCCCCUCGCUCUCAAAACAAAAAAAAAUUAAGUUAAGUCAACUAAGGGAGGAAUUCUUCACAUGGAAAAGCCCUGAGUUAUCUUUUAAAAUGUCAGUCUAAUCCAAAUCCCUCCCGCGGGAAGCACAGUAAUACGGCGGACUGACAGGUAAUGUGGACCUGCUCGCCUCGCAGCCAGAUAACCUUCCAUGGAAGACUGUCACAUUAUAACUGUGAUUUCCUUAUCUUUUGCCAACCGCCACGUUCCACCAUUUAAUCAUCUACUAAUGAUGAAGGUGUGAAAUCAGAUUCAUCCCGUCAUCUUUUCUCCGAGUUUAGCGCUUAUUUCACUUAGAAUUUAAACGUGUUUGCUCAGUGUUCCAUGAGCCAAAUGCUAACCAGCCAUAUCCAUGAUUAACAUUUUGUUCCUCACAGGGAGCGGAUGAGUCUCUGGUUGUGCUGAUGAAAGAGGAGAUGUGCACUUUCCUGCAUCGCUGUUGUCUUCUAAACGUUGACGGUGCCAAGGGAUCGAUUCAAGGUUCAUAGUGGGAUGAUGUGCAAAGGUGACUGCAAGCUUGCCCAAAUUUGGAAGUGCUCGCAGGGCAGCCGACCAGGAAUAGAUUGGCUUCAGAUAAUAUCAGAGCACGACUUAUUCUUUUCUUGCAUGGCGUAUGAAUGGAUUAGUGGUGGCAGAGCUGAAGUUCUUUCACUUCCAAAACAGAGAGUGGAAAUUUUGUUUUGUCACUUCCCCAAAUUGCUGUUGGGCAACUUUUAUUCUCUUGGUCUUGGACAUCUGUUAACAAAUAUUAUCCACCCAGUCUGUUUUGUGCUGGAGUUGGCAUAGUUUCAACUAGUGUUGACCUUAAUACAGGACUGGUUUCAACCUUCUCCUCAGUCUCUUGCUCCCAUAUAUGUAUUCAUCGGGUUUCCAUGCUUUAGCUUUUGCUUUGAACCCCACACAAGUCACUGCGAUAAAGAUCAAAUUCAAUUCCA